UAGUCUGCAACCCGACUACAUGAAGCUGGAAUCGCUAGUAAUCGCAGAUCAGAAUGCUGCGGUGAAUACGUUCCCGGGUCUUGUACACACCGCCCGUCACACCAUGGGAGUUGGAAAUGCCUGAAGUCGGUGACCUAACCGAAAGGGAGGAGCCGCCGAAGGCAGGUCUGAUAACUGGGGUGAAGUCGUAACAAGGUAUC
rnacentral:rRNA from 1 species